rnacentral:lncRNA from 1 species
CUAGCCUCUUUGAUGGGUUAUUUUUAGUACACUGAAAGCAAUGAUAAAAUGGGAUUAACAUUUAUCAUGAUCAUAUAGCAGAUUAUUAUUUGUAAUAUAUUUUAAUAUGUCCAGGAACAAACACAAUUCAAGCUGUUCUCGGUCUCCACUGGUGAAAUCAAACUUUAAUUGGAGUCAUCAAUGAAAUCAGGGUAAUGUUUUCUUCUGUUUUUUAUUGUAACUGGAUCUCUUCUUCAAGCUGAAUGAGAAAGCUAUGGUCACAGGAAAAAUUCGUCGAGUUUGACAUUUUCUCAGAAUUGUUCUCUAUUGUAAUGGUUGUAAGCGGUUAAAAGCCCCAAAAAAUUAUAUUCUGUUUCAGUUGAAGAAAAAAUUGACAAAAUACCAAGCUGAUUAAAUGAUCUUAAUAAUUCAGCAAUGUUUCAAAAAUUAAAGAAGGUCAAGAGAUCAGAAUUUAAGCCAUUCGUCCGAUACCAUCUAUAAAGAGCCACAUGAAAUGAGGAAGAAUUGAAAUAGCUAUUUGUUCAUUUUUAAAGAGCAAAUAAUAUCAAAAUACAAAUUUUUUGUGUCAUUUUUCCAGGACUGCACUUUAGAUGAAGACACAAAAAUGUGGAACUUUUCAAUCUUUAUCACUGAUAAUACACUCUAUCCCAGUUCACUGAGAGUUUUCGUCAAGUGCUCUUUUGAUUCAAUGCCAAAUUUAUCCAGAUAUGCGGUAAUUUAUUUACGUAAUGUAAAAGUUCAAAGAAGCCAGUAUAUAUUUGAAGCUCAUAUAGAAGAAGGUAAAGAUAUUUUGGAUCUCAACCUGGCAUGUGGCAGAUUGCUUUCUGAUCUGGAUGAAAAGAAACUUAGCACUCUUCCUGAUACAGAAAAUGUCAAGACGCGGAUUGAUGAGCUGAUGAAAUGGUGUCAGCUCCAGUAUGGGAAAAUUGCAGAAAUUAGACAACUAAGUAGUGUUUUCAAAAUAAAAUGGGAGCCCUUAAUGUCUGAGAAUAUUCAUGAAAUCUCGUGAAAUCUUCCUGUUCCUUAAAUGGACGGUGUAAGUCGGCAAUCACAUAACUCGGUUUGCGACGUCGCAGACUUCCUGUCAUACUUCAUUUUUUAAACGGAAAAAUACUCAACGGCAAUUCUUUAAAACUGCCAUCAUUUUUCUUCCUUAUCUGAAGAAAAUUCUGCAUAAACUUCAAGGAAUGAUGUCAAUUUGUUCUCCUUUAAAAAUAACAUAGAGGCAGAGAUUUUCAGACACCGCAAACGAAGUAUGUGAUUGCGGGCUUAGGCCGUCAAAAUAUUCAUUUGCUCAGAAAUAACUUACUCCAAAAUCCAAAGUCAUUUUCUGUUUCCUCUUCUCUGUUUCAUUCAGGGGCUCAUCAUGCCAAUGUUAUCUGUCUAACUAGUUCGUUAUAUUUUUGUUAAUGAUAUUUUCUAAAUCAGUUAUCAUUUCUGAAUCAUAAUCGGGAUCUGUGUCUUUGCUAGCAAUAACAUAUAUUGUGAAGGAUCCACUCGGGCAAGAAAGUGGGCACUGUUGCAGAUCGGCAGUAUUUUCAAUGAAAGUAGAUAAACUGUAAAUUUGCAUUGGGCUAUUGCAGCAUUUUGCUUCCCAACUGUGAGAAACCAAGCAGCAAAUUCGUGUAUUUCAUUCCAUAGAAUACUUUUCGAUUUCGUAUUAAUUUUUGCUAAAAAUGUCUCCUGAGUGCAGAUAUCUUAGAGAAAAUGUCUUCAAAAUAUUUCCUGGAAUGUAAGGGUGGAUUCGAUACCAUCUUCAGGGGCAGAUUGACGAUUUUGCCUCCCUGGGCUAACAACAGUUUGACAUCUCUAGAUUCCAAAAGUGGUAAUUUUUGAAGAAUUGAUAUGCAACUAAAAAAAGGAGGAAAACGUUUUUCGAGAUCUGCUGCCUCCAAAAAUUUGCUGCAAAGGGCCUUGACCCAUGUGGCCCCUUUUCAAAUCCAGUCCUGAUGGAAGAAUACCCAACUUAUGUUUGUGUUAGCACCCUUCUUAGAAUUAUUUUUGUAAUUAAAGUUAAAUGCUUCUUGUCAGCCAUAGUAGUACAUCUGUAGAAUAACUCAGGGAAAAACUGUGAAACUAGUUUUUUUUACGAGUGUGAAAGUUAUAGCUAAAAAAGCUUCCAAAGAAGUCGUAAAUAGAGUUCAAGAAAUUUAAGUAGGUAAAAAGUUUAUGAUCUUUUAUAUUUUAUUCAAGAAGAGAGGUAAUUCAUACUUUUUCGAAUUUUCUUGUGAAAAAAUAUUAAAUACCAAUUUAGCAUUCAUUCCAUUUCCAUUUUCGGCCCAACUCACAUCUUUUUUACAAGUUUUCUUUUGUAUAUUUUACGUCAGGUAUGUACUACUAUGGAGAACCAUUAACUACCUACUUACUUAAGUUAAUACCUAAUGUUACCUAAGUCUAAGAAUAAAGAAAUUUUUUUUGUUUUUUUCAGUACAAACACUUGUAAUAGUUGCAUUUUUCCAUAGAGAAAUGUACCAUAUUGUACUUAUCUUUGUUAGUGUCCCAAUUUCAGUUGGACAGAAGAAUAAACAAUUGUUACUGUUUUUCACUCCUUCUUAACUUCAUUUGAUAUUUAUUAAGUACCUGCAGUAUUUUGAAGUAAUAUUACUUCAUUGUAAUGAGGAUCACUCAAUUUUUAUUUCCAUAUUUCUUUAUUCUUAAUUCUUAUUUUCUCAUUUUAGAUUUUUGGCCACUUUUGAUGAUUAUACAGAGACAAUGAUCAUAGUAUGAGAACACAGGUGAACUUGAAUUAUGUUUCCUUUUAAGUCUCUUCGGCCUCAGUGAAUUUGGCAGCACAAGAUUGACUCUGAAAUAUUUUUAAAGCAUCAUGAAAGUUACACAAUGAGUUAUAGUUGUGAGAAGUUGUAGGAAUGUAAAUAGCCUUUGGAAUCUUUUGCAGGGUUUACUCGGUGUUGGUUCAUGCGCAUCAAAAUUGCCUUUUGUCCCCAGCAUGCAGUUAUCCGUUUUGGCAGGAAUUUUGUUUUUCGAUUACCCAUAAAGAGGGAUCAGAAUUUAAAGAAAACUCAAACUCAGAAUUGAGAUAUCAAAAGAAAAGUACACUGAAAAAUUCUUUGCAUCAAUCGCCUCAUAGAAAA